GGAGAGGUACCGAAGUGGUCGUAACGGGGCCGACUCGAAAUCGGCUUACCCCCUAACCCGGGGUACGUGGGUUCGAAUCCCACCCUCUCCG
rnacentral:tRNA from 1 species